CCGGUGCCGCUCCCCGGUGCCGCCGGCCUCGACCGGCCCCAGUGCGGGGCGCAUGGAGCGCUCCCCUGGCUCGGCAAACACCUGCCGACGGGCCGCCUCCGCUCCUUCUUCACGCACGGACCUCUUUGCUCAUUGCUGCGGUUCCGCUGUGGCCGAGCGACCAACCGGAUCUUUGUCACUAAUGAAAAAUAAAACACUCCAUGCUGAACCGCUUGCUGCAGGAAGGACCACGGGGAUUUCUGCCAUUAUCUUCCAAAGGCCUGGCUUCUGAUGCACGUUGCUGCUUGCUGUACUGGUUUGGCCUGGGGUAGAAUGAUUAUUCACAGUGUGGGGGUAGCAAGUUCGAUCUUUGAGGGCCCCUUCCAACUCAGCUUAUUCUGUGAUUUGUGCCGAACACAGCAUGGAUAACACAGAGAUGUUUUUGAUAUUGCUGAGCAGGGCUUGCAUUGAGCCAAGGCAUUUGCUGCUUUUUGUACUGCUAUGCUGGUAAGGAUAGUGAGGCUGAAUGAAAGGUUGGGAAGAGACACAGCUGAGACGGGUGUCCCCAAGUGACAAAGGGAUAUUUUUGACCAGAUGGCAUCAUGCUCAGUAUAUAAGGCUUUGGCCUGCAUGCCUUUCAUUUUGAAGUAUAAACCAUAUACGUGCUCUGCUAAUAAAGGAUUAUAAGACCCUGUCAGAAGUUUUCUGAAUUCCAGACAGAUUUUGGGCCUCUGGUUCUAUGUUUCAAGUACGGAGCUACAACCGAUUUGCAGCCAAGCUGCCAGAACCUAAGUCUAUGAGCAGUUUCGGCACUUGAAACUAACAGGUGCUUCCAGCAGGCCGCCGCCGAGGUCCCACAGCCGCGCCGCCGCUGCCCCGGCGGGGCAGACGCAGGGCAG